rnacentral:rRNA from 1 species
AUUGAACGCUGGCGGCAGGCCUAACACAUGCAAGUCGAGCGGAGCGGCGGACGGGUGAGUAAUGCCUAGGAAUCUGCCUGGUAGUGGGGGAUAACGUCCGGAAACGGGCGCUAAUACCGCAUACUAUCAGAUGAGCCUAGGGCGGAUUAGCUAGUUGGUGGGGUAAAGGACUACCAAGGCGACGAUCCGUCACUGGUCUGAGAGGAUGGUCAGUCAGACUGGAACUGAGACACGGGCCAGACUCCUACGGGAGGCAGCAGGGGGGAAUAUUGGACAAUGGGCGAAAGCCUGAUCCAGCCAUGCCGCGUGUGUGAAGAAGGUAUUCGGAUUGUAAAGCACUUUAAGUUGGGAGGCGUUACCGACAGAAGAAGCACCGGCUAACUCCGUGCCAGCAGCCGCGGUAAUUC